AAAAUAUGGCAUACUCUUCCAGAAGCUGGAGAACCAUUUUCUUUGCUCUGUUGGAGUUUGUGUCUGUCUGGAGGUGCUGGAUGAACUGUGGAUAUCGGGGAUAUGCUGAGUGAGGCCGAGACCUUCUACUCUAACAUCCCCAUUGGCUACUCAAGGAAUAUUGUGAGACUUCUUGGCUUGGAUAAAUCUACACUCAUUUUCCUGCAGAAAGGCACACCUGAGGAAUGUGGCAAGGACCCCUGCUACUGCCACUUGGACUGUCACCUGCUGAAACCAUGGAACAGGGGCUCCUCUGAGGAGGUGAC